UACGUAGGGUGCAAGCGUUGUCCGGAAUUAUUGGGCGUAAAGAGCUCGUAGGCGGCCUGUCGCGUCGGCUGUGAAAACCCGGGGCUCAACCCCGGGCCUGCAGUCGAUACGGGCAGGCUAGAGUCCGGCAGGGGAGACUGGAAUUCCUGGUGUAGCGGUGAAAUGCGCAGAUAUCAGGAGGAACACCGGUGGCGAAGGCGGGUCUCUGGGACGGUACUGACGCUGAGACGCGAAAGCGUGGGGAGCGAACAGG
rnacentral:rRNA from 1 species